GAUGAACGCUAGCGGCAGGCUUAAUACAUGCAAGUCGAGGGACAGCACAGGUAGCAAUACUGGGUGGUAACCGGCAAACGGGUGCGGAACACGUACACAACCUUCCUUUAAGUGGGGGAUAGCCCAGAGAAAUUUGGAUUAAUACCCCGUAAUAUAGUUGAAUGGCAUCAUUUGAUUAUUAUAGCUACGGCGCUUAAUGAUGGGUGUGCGGCUGAUUAGAUAGUUGGCGGGGUAACGGCCCACCAAGUCUACGAUCAGUAGCUGAUGUGAGAGCAUGAUCAGCCACACGGGCACUGGGACACGGGCCCGACUCCUACGGGAGGCAGCAGUAAGGAAUAUUGGUCAAUGGACGCAAGUCUGAACCAGCCAUGCCGCGUGAAGGAUUAAGGUCUUCUGGAUUGUAAACUUCUUUUAUUUGGGACGAAAAAGGGUCUUUCUAGAUCAACUGACGGUACCAGAUGAAUAAGCACCGGCUAACUCCGUGCCAGCAGCCGCAGUAACAC
rnacentral:rRNA from 1 species